rnacentral:rRNA from 1 species
AACGAACGCUGGCGGCAUGCUUUACACAUGCAAGUCGAACGGUAACAGGCCGCAAGGUGCUGACGAGUGGCGAACGGGUGAGUAAUGCAUCGGAACGUGCCCAGUCGUGGGGGAUAACGCAGCGAAAGUUGCGCUAAUACCGCAUACGAUCUAUGGAUGAAAGCGGGGGACCGUAAGGCCUCGCGCGAUUGGAGCGGCCGAUGUCAGAUUAGGUAGUUGGUGGGGUAAAGGCUCACCAAGCCGACGAUCUGUAGCUGGUCUGAGAGGACGACCAGCCACACUGGGACUGAGACACGGCCCAGACUCCUACGGGAGGCAGCAGUGGGGAAUUUUGGACAAUGGGCGCAAGCCUGAUCCAGCAACGCCGCGUGCAGGAAGAAGGCCUUCGGGUUGUAAACUGCCUUUGUACGGAACGAAACGGUUCUGGUUAAUACCCGGGGCUAAUGACGGUACCGUAAGAAUAAGCACCGGCUAACUACGUGCCAGCCGCCGCCGUAACAC